AAAACCUUAUAUCUACAUCUCAUCCCGAUUCCUAUGUUCUUCCCCAUUUCUUUCUCCCCCGUUCCCCCUUCCAACAUGCGAUUUCCAGGGUUUCGGCCACAUCUCCGACCGACGACGGCGUGAUCUGCGACAACCGCUUGCUCUCCAGCGGUGGAAGGUUUUCGAUUGGUAAGCCCACUGCUCUCGGAUCUCCCUCUCUCGGCGAAGGCGCGGGCCUUGCCGUGGCUGGCCGAAUCUUGUCCGCGUCGCGGGGCUGCCUGCCGUCGUGGGCUGUCCGGCGCCAGGCGCGUGCUGGCCACCGCCAGGCGCGUGCUGGAAGCAGACAACGAUCCGUUCUGUUGUUGGCGAUCAGUCGAGUUUCCAGAAACAAAAUCGAAGUCUCCAUUCUGUUGUUGGCGAUCAGUCGUUGGAUCGUGGUCGAAUCCGGUGUCAAUUGAUGGUGAGGAAGCCCAGCAGCAGUUGCUGCGCCAUCUGCGAGGGUUCAAAUCUGGCAUCAAUUUGUGCUCCCUGCCACAAGCUAGUGAUUUCUUUUGAUCAUCUUUGAUAUGGAGCUGGAUAUGGGCAAUUGUCGGUAUGUAGUGAUAUAAUUUCAGAAAUUUCAAGUUAAACGAGUACAACCCUCUGUUGAAAUCUCUGAAUACCGUCUGUAAAUCUCAUUAUUCGAAGCUGGACGAUUUGCUCGCCAAGAAGAGGAAAGCAGAUCAGCAGAUUAACUGGAGAGUGAUGCAAAAUGUGGAACUCAAGGCAUUGAAGGAACGGCUAACCUACUUGAAGAAGAAACUUGCUGAAGAUAAGGCUAAGGUUUCCAAAGAAUCAAAUGAUCUGAAGUUGAAAUAUGGGUCAUUGGAAUUAGCAUUUUCUAUAGUGAGAUAAUUUUACUUUUAUACUCUUCCUACACUUAUUCGUCCUUUCUUCAAUUGUAUGCUUCUAAUAUGUCUGAACUUUUGUUAAUUAUUCAUGUUUUAGAUGAAAAACAAGCAAACAGAAGUAUUAGAUAAACUCAGUAGCGAUCUUAUGUCCAAAAUCUCAAAAUUAUUUAUACACAUCUGAAUUGUAAGAUAAUAUAGCUAUGUAAAAGAAAUCAAAAAAUAUACCAAUUAAGAUUUUCAAAAUUAAUUGUACACAUCUGAAUUUAGAACUAUCAAACCAUAAAUCAACUUUUUUUCAUGAUAUGCAUCUUUUCCGUAUUAAAAGGCAAUCUAAUUUAAACAAAGCCAAGUCCCUUCAUCAGCCUAUCUUAAUUAUUAGUACCACAUAUACAAGAUGUCCACAUAAAAGCAUAAAAGAGGAGAGGAUUACAAGGAGGAUGUGAAAAGAAUCAAUUAGGCGAAAUUAAUAAAAAUGAUCAACAAGCAUCCAACAACUUUUGAUGCCAUCAUUUUGCUUAAUUUUUAUAGUUUGAUAAAUGAGCUCCGAAAAUAUAUCCUUUUUGGUCGUCCUAACGUUUUGUGACACUUUACAAUUAAUCAUAUUUGCUUAGCAAUAAGUAAACUUUGUACCAAAAGCAAGUGAUUGAACUUACUAGAGAAAGAACUAGUGUAAAGAACAGUAGUUGUGUCUUAGACUCCUAGUCCAGGAUCCAUAGUAAGUUUCAACUAAAAUACAUAGAAAUUAGCAACCGUUUCACUUAGAUGAGGAUCAGGUGCAUGAAAGCUAAAGGAAGAAAGAUUUGCAUAUUCACCAUGAAAACCAUCAUUAGUUUACAGAAAUUAUUUGCAUAUUCACAGAAAUUAUUUUAAACAUUCUUUAGUUUACAUUAAACACCAAAACACAACCAAACCAAGGACAAAACUAUAAAUUCAGCAAAUUAAAAUGAAAAAUAAAGUGAACAAAGUGAGGAAAUUUGAACCCUAAUACCAUACUACACAAGAUCUCUUUCUCUCUCUAUAUAUAUGAUGUGCCAAUUAUAUUAGGUUGUAUCAUAGUUACGAUACUUGUACUUAGCUUCACGAUAAUUCUUAUACUUUUAUUUACCGUUGCUAUCACAUGGAUGGUUCAUAUCGUUGGUAAAUAGGGCAUUUAUUUGAAUGUUUAAGGAAUUUCACAGUUAUGUCUUUUUUCCAAUCGUUCUUGUUACAUGGUCAUAUCGUAUCAUAUUUACAAUCUUUCUUGUUACACAUGAUCUGGUUUAUUUGUUUGUUGUUAUGUAGGCAAAGGAGAUUUGAUGGGGAGCAAAGCUUUUGUGGCAGACGAAGAUGACUUGAUGUAUUAUUAGUUUAUUUACCUUCUUGAUGGAUGAUGAACUUAUAUAACAUUGGGUUGUUGAACUUUGUAUAAUAUUUUCUAGAAGCUUGAACAAGAUUGUUGAGAUCUUUAUAUUUGUUGAAUUAUGAGUUGAGUUCAAUUAUUAA